rnacentral:lncRNA from 1 species
AAAGGAUAUGGACCAAUUUGCUCCCACUGACUUCACCAAGUCAAGUCCUCCCACUGACUUCUCAAGUCAUUAACAAGGACUAGGAUCAAAUUUGGUCCAUGGGCACUUAGAUCAGUCUCACUGAAUGAAAUCACUCACUGAUUUCCUAUAUGACAUGGGUUAGCAUGAAUCAAUGAGCAACCUAAUCAAGACCUGAUUAACCACAUUGGUCAGGUAAGUAUGAUCGAUGGGAGGGUCUGCCAAAGCUUGCCUUAGACACCAUAAGAAAUGGCC